GUCUUUGGCCAUACUACCCUGAACACAAUCUUGUCUGAUCUCAGUUAUCUAAGCAGGGACAGGCCUGGUGAGUACUUGGAUGGGGGACCACGUAGGGAUACUAGUUGCUUUAGGCU
rnacentral:rRNA from 1 species